rnacentral:rRNA from 1 species
GACGAACGCUGGCGGCGUGCCUAAUACAUGCAAGUAGAACGCACAGUUUAUACCGUAGCUUGCUACACCAUAAACUGUGAGUUGCGAACGGGUGAGUAACGCGUAGGUAACCUGCCUGGUAGCGGGGGAUAACUAUUGGAAACGAUAGCUAAUACCGCAUAAUAUUGAUUAUCGCAUGAUAAUUGAUUGAAAGAUGCUAUUGCAUCACUACCAGAUGGACCUGCGUUGUAUUAGCUAGUAGGUGAGGUAACGGCUCACCUAGGCGACGAUACAUAGCCGACCUGAGAGGGUGAUCGGCCACACUGGGACUGAGACACGGCCCAGACUCCUACGGGAGGCAGCAGUAGGGAAUCUUCGGCAAUGGACGAAAGUCUGACCGAGCAACGCCGCGUGAGUGAAGAAGGUUUUCGGAUCGUAAAGCUCUGUUGUAAGAGAAGAACGGGUGUGAGAGUGGAAAGUUCACACUGUGACGGUAUCUUACCAGAAAGGGACGGCUAACUACGUG